rnacentral:rRNA from 1 species
UACGUAGGUGGCAAGCGUUGUCCGGAAUUAUUGGGCGUAAAGCGCGCGCAGGCGGUCCUUUAAGUCUGAUGUGAGAGCCCACGGCUCAACCGUGGAGGGUCAUUGGAAACUGGAGGACUUGAGUACAGAAGAGGAAAGCGGAAUUCCACGUGUAGCGGUGAAAUGCGUAGAGAUGUGGAGGAACACCAGUGGCGAAGGCGGCUUUCUGGUCUGUAACUGACGCUGAGGCGCGAAAGCGUGGGGAGCAAACAGG